rnacentral:tRNA from 1 species
GGGCUCGUAGUCCAGACCGGUAAGAUGCUUCGUUGGCAAUGGAGAGAUCGCGGGUUCAAAUCCCGCCGAGUCCACCA